rnacentral:rRNA from 1 species
UUGAAACAACUGGGCUUUCAAAGCUAACGCAUUAAGUAGACCCGCCUGGGGAGUACGGCCGCAAAGGUUAAAACUCAAAUGAAUUGACGGGGGCCCGCACAAGCGGUGGAGCAUGUGGUUUAAUUCGAUGCAACGCGAAGAACCUUACCUACUCUUGACAUCCAGAGAACUUUCCAGAGAUGGAUUGGUGCCUUCGGGAACUCUGAGACAGGUGCUGCAUGGCUGUCGUCAGCUCGUGUUGUGAAAUGUUGGGUUAAGUCCCGCAACGAGCGCAACCCUUAUCCUUACUUGCCAGCGGGUAAUGCCGGGAACUUUAGGGAGACUGCCGGUGAUAAACCGGAGGAAGGUGGGGACGACGUCAAGUCAUCAUGGCCCUUACGAGUAGGGCUACACACGUGCUACAAUGGUCGGUACAGAGGGUUGCGAAGCCGCGAGGUGGAGCUAAUCUCAUAAAGCCGGUCGUAGUCCGGAUUGGAGUCUGCAACUCGACUCCAUGAAGUCGGAAUCGCUAGUAAUCGUGGAUCAGAAUGCCACGGUGAAUACGUUCCCGGGCCUUGUACACACCGCCCGUCACACCAUGGGAGUGGGCUGCACCAGAAGUAGAUAGCUUAACCUUCGGGAGGGCGUUUACCACGGUGUGGUUCAUGACUGGGGUGAAGUCGUAACAAGGUAACCG